GAUGAACGCUGGCGGCGUGCCUAAUACAUGCAAGUCGAGCGAACGGACGAGAAGCUUGCUUCUCUGAUGUUAGCGGCGGACGGGUGAGUAACACGUGGAUAACCUACCUAUAAGACUGGGAUAACUUCGGGAAACCGGAGCUAAUACCGGAUAAUAUUAUGAACCGCAUGGUUCAAAAGUGAAAGACGGUCUUGCUGUCACUUAUAGAUGGAUCCGCGCUGCAUUAGCUAGUUGGUAAGGUAACGGCUUACCAAGGCAACGAUGCAUAGCCGACCUGAGAGGGUGAUCGGCCACACUGGAACUGAGACACGGUCCAGACUCCUACGGGAGGCAGCAGUAGGGAAUCUUCCGCAAUGGGCGAAAGCCUGACGGAGCAACGUCGCGUGAGUGAUGAAGGUCUUCGGAUCGUAAAACUCUGUUAUUAGGGAAGAACAUAUGUGUAAGUAACUGUGCACAUCUUGACGGUACCUAAUCAGAAAGCCACGGCUAACUACGUG
rnacentral:rRNA from 1 species